UGCGAUACACUUCUUGACCGUCUAGAUCAGCCAGGACGUUGGCACGUGUAGCGUAUUUUGUCGGGNUCUCUCGAGAUAAGGAAUCGUCGUCCCUUUGUUGGUUGGUUUCUCGUGUGCACGGUGGGUUCGUUGCUUUGUUACUUUCGCAUCGUUCGGUGCAUUCUGGGGGCUGUGAUGGCUUUUCGUGGCUUGCUUGGCCUUUUGGCUUGGCUUGUUGCUACUUGUCGGGCGGCCUUCGGGAAUGUCGACCGUGGAGGUGCAUGAGUGGUGUUUGGUUUGUUACGUGUGGAUGGCUGUUUGCUUGCGCAACAACGUUCACGCUGCAUACCUCUUCAGUUUUGCGGCAAGGCUUUGUUUGGCUUGUCCAUAUUGUGGGUUUCCUGUGUUGCAUACCUAGUUGAUGGAAAAGUAUGGGUUUUACGAUUUUCAUUUUCGUCCUGCGUCGUUCUUUCGGCAUGGGAUGAGCAAUGAAGCGAUCUUUAUGAUCCACCGUGCUGUUGCGUUUGCAACAAUGAUGUGGCCUAUGAAGCAUCGUUUGGUCUCUUGUAUACGGAAGCUCAUUUGGGCUUGGGUCUUUAUAAGAUCUUCGUUAUGCCCUUGUUAAGCGUUCUCGCUUCUCCUAAACGAUUG
rnacentral:misc_RNA from 1 species